rnacentral:rRNA from 1 species
AACGUAGGAGACAAACGUUAUCCGGAGUUACUGGGCGUAAAGGGCGUGCAGGUGGUUUCGUAAGUCUGGCGUGAAAUUUUUCGGCUUAACCGGGAAAGGUCGUCGGAUACUGCAGAACUAGAGGACGGUAGAGGCGUGUGGAAUUCCGGGUGUAGUGGUGAAAUGCGUAGAGAUCCGGAGGAACACCAGUGGCGAAGGCGACACGCUGGGCCGUACCUGACACUGAUGCGCGACAGCAUGGGGAGCAAACGGG